UAGCUCAGCGGUAGAGCACGUGCCUAGCAUGCACGAGACUGGGGUUCAAUUCCCAA
rnacentral:tRNA from 1 species